rnacentral:tRNA from 1 species
GGGGUUGUGGCUCAGUGGUAGAGUGCUUGCCUUGCAUGAGUAAGACCCUGGGUUCGAUCCUCAGCACCA